GACCGCUCUGGUGGUCUAGUGGUUAUGGUGUCUGCCUCGUAUGCAUUAGGUUUGGGUUCGAUCCCAGCCAAGUCA